rnacentral:tRNA from 1 species
AGCGGCGUCGUCUAUCGGUAGGGCGCCCGGCUCUGACCCGGGAGAGGUUGGUUCGAUUCCAGCCGCCGCUGCCA